rnacentral:rRNA from 1 species
UUAUUGGAGAGUUUGAUCCUGGCUCAGGAUGAACGCUGGUGGCGUGCCUAAUACAUGCAAGUCGAGCGAAUGGAUUAAGAGCUUGCUCUUAUGAAGUUAGCGGCGGACGGGUGAGUAACACGUGGGUAACCUGCCCAUAAGACUGGGAUAACUCCGGGAAACCGGGG